UACGGAAGGUGCAAGCGUUGUUCGGAAUUAUUGGGCGUAAAGCGAGUGUAGGCGGCUUGAUAAGUCGGGUGUGAAAGCCCGGGGCUCAACCCCGGAUGUGCGCUCGAUACUGUCAUGGCUUGAGUACGAAAGAGGGUUGUGGAAUUGUCGGUGUAGAGGUGAAAUUCGUAGAUAUCGGCAAGAACAUCAGCGGCGAAGGCGACAACCUGGCUCGAUACUGACGCUCAGACUCGAAAGCGUGGGGAGCAAACAGG
rnacentral:rRNA from 1 species